UUGGAGGGCAAGUCUGGUGCCAGCAGCCGCGGUAAUUCCAGCUCCAAUAGCGUAUAUUAAAGUUGUUGCAGUUAAAAAGCUCGUAGUUGAAUUUCGGGAUCAAUACGUCGGUCGUGCCUCUGGUAUGAACUGGUGUUAUUGAUUCCUCCUUUCUGAUAAACCAUGAUGUCAUUAAUUUGGUGUUGUGGGGAGUCAGGACUGUUACUUUGAAAAAAUUAGAGUGUUUAAAGCAGGCCUACGCUUGAAUACAUUAGCAUGGAAUAAUGAAAUAGGACGUUCGAACCUAUUUUGUUGGUUUCUAGGAUCAACGUAAUGAUUAAUAGGGAUAGUUGGGGGCAUUAGUAUUCAAUUGUCAGAGGUGAAAUUCUUGGAUUUAUUGAAGACUAACUACUGCGAAAGCAUUUGCCAAGGAUGUUUUCAUUAAUCAAGAACGAAAGUUAGGGGAUCGAAGACGAUCAGAUACCGUCGUAGUCUUAACCAUAAGCUAUGCCGACUAGGGAUCGGAUGAUGUUAAUUUUUUAAUGACUCAUUCGGCGCCUUACGGGAAAC
rnacentral:rRNA from 1 species